AAUAAUUGGAAAUAUUUAUACAGCGUACUUAAGUGCACAUAAAAUACUUUUCAUUUUUAUUUAUAUAAAUUAUUAACACUAUUUCAUUUUGGUUAACUCAAAAGAAACUUUAUCAAAUAACAUCUCAAUAGUAGGCUGGCUAAAUUUGUCAAGACGCCAUAUUUUUUUUUUUUGAAAAAACAAUAUAUCUUAAAGCAUCGUCCAGCCAAGAAAACUUUGAAUAUAUUUUAAUCAGUUAAAAUCUGAAAUAAAUUCAAUAUGAUGAAUACAAGUGAAGAAGAGUUCACGAAUUCCGAUGCUUGGCUGUCGGAGCAAUUGUUCGCACAAUUAAAAGAAUUUAAUUCAGACUACAGAGAAAAGUCCGUUGUAGAUUCAUCGGCAACAUUUGUAUUUCCUUCCGGAAGUCUAAGUUGCAUAUCUGAAGAUGAACCACAAGAUUUAACCAAGUCAAGAUUGGAAAACUAUGAUUCGGUUUUCAAGUUACCAACACCAACAAACAUUAAUCCAUUCGAUAUAAAUGAUGUACUCGAUUUAAGUAAUAUUUCUGGCAGAGGCACCGAGCCAGCAUUUCUCGACUUGGUCGGAACAGUUCCAUUAACACCAUUUGCCACACCAAUUCCUGAGACAACAGUAAUGGUUAAUGAAACAGUGAAACAAACAACGGCGUCAUUUGAUGCAACAGAAGAAGAAUUGAAACUGUUGAAAUUCCUGGAGUCGCAACCACAAAGUAGUCCACUUGAUACUAAACUAUAUAUUCCACCUGAGGUUCCAACAUCGGCUUAUCGAAUUGUGAAGUGUUCUAAUUGCAACUGUCUCUUUGACAUUAUAUCUUUUCAAUCUCAUAUUUGUGAUUACGAUGAACACCAUAACCUUAUCAUUCCCCCAGCUGCCUCAACUCCUAUUAACAAACCAAUUAAGGAAGAACCAAUAUUACCACCGGAACCUGCAUGCAUUCGAUUAUUACGUGAAAAUCAAAUACGCAUUCGCAGAUUCUUGAAAGAUGAACUUAAAUAUGACGUUAACGCAUCAAUAAAUAACAAUACAAGUAAUUCCAGUAGUACUUUAGGUAAUACAUCAAACACAUCGACAGGCUCGAAUUCAUCGAAUAACGCCUCCAAAAAGCAAGAUGGACCUCAUGAGUGUACACUAUGCGAACGUAAAUUCGUGCAUGCAUCAGGUCUGUUGCGGCAUAUGGAGAAACAUGCAAUGGAUCUUAUACCAACACCUGGCGCUUCUUCGGGCGGUAAAACGGCUACUUCACAAGGCAGCUCCUUACAGAGCGUUAAUGGACUGCGAGUUGUCAUUAAGUGUACUCUCUGUGGAAGAGUGUUCUUUGAGCCCUUUGCUGCUUUCAAACAUUUAUGUUCUCAUUUUCCCGGAAGUAUGCAGGAAGAAAAGGAAUUCGAUAAUUGUGCUGAAAUUCCCUACGAAUCAUUCGUGGACGAUGCGAUGAAUUUUUUGAAGAUGGAGACUAAUAACUGUACGGGGCCGCUAAUAGUACAUGGCGAUAAACCACCAGUUUACCUCAAAAUGGUUAUUUUAAGCUGUAUUUUGCAGUGCGAGUUUUGUGACUUUGUUUUCUCAGAAGUAUCCUAUUUAUUUGUACAUUCGGCUUGCCAUUUACCUGAACGACGUUUUGAAUGCUUCUCUUGUGAUAUUCAUAUGCGCACGUCGAAAGAAAUAUGUGCGCAUUGGCAAGCCGAGUGUGUAUUUAUGCGAGAGAAUCUUAAGGUGCAUCAAGCCUCUACACAACGCUAUUUUGUUUGUAAUGUUUGCGAGAAUAAGUUUCAAUCCCUUGAUCAGUUGCAUGAGCAUAGAUAUACAGCGUAUCAUUUCUUUCCCCGUUUGAAUAAAUGUCUCGGUGUACUGCAGUUACCGUGUGAGUAUUGCGAUGUUGUAUUUGAGUUUGCGCAGGAGUGUGUGGCCCAUUAUGAAGAUAAACAUUACAAGAAGUAUAAACGCGAUAAAGAUGGAACAGGCUCAUCCAGCAAAACGCGUCAAUACUUAUGUGAUAUGUGUGGGAAAUCGUAUACCCAAUCCAGUCACUUAUGGCAGCAUUUGCGUUUUCAUCAAGGGGUUAAACCCUUUGCUUGUAAGGAACCCGGUUGUACACGUAAAUUUACCAUUCGCCCCGACUUGAAUGACCACAUACGUAAAUGUCAUACUGGUGAACGUCCUUAUCAUUGUUUGGUGUGUGGCAAACGUUUCUUAACUGGCUCCGUUUUCUACCAACAUCGUCUUAUACAUCGUGGCGAGCGACGUUAUGAAUGUGAAGAGUGUGGUAAACGUUUUUAUCGCGCAGAUGCGCUUAAGAACCACCAGCGCAUCCAUACUGGUGAAAAACCAUUUGGUUGUCUGUUUUGUACAAAGAACUUCCGUCAACGCGGCGAUCGUGACAAGCAUAUAAGAGCUAGACAUUCCCACUUGGAUGCGAAUGCUCGUCUAAUGAUGCAAAUGCAAAAAUUACAGUUGGAAGCAGCGGCAGCUGCGGCUGCAGCUCAAGUAGUAGUUCAGCAACAGCAUGCCAAUAAUGCAGCAAUUAUGAGUGGUAUACCCACUGUAACUCCAACUCUUAUGAGUAUGCCAUCUGUAAACAAUGAUAUAAUUGAUAGUUUAGAACCGUCAUUAGAUCCGAACGAAGUGGUUAUGAUUGGAAAUGUUGCGUUUCCAAAAAGUAUGUUUGAAUCCAUAAUUCCAGACAUUGAUGAAGAGUCUGCACUAAGAGCCAUGGAACAGUUGCAAUAGAAAUACAGAAAAUUUCUGUGAUAAAUACACCUAUAAAUGUAAUAUGCUUAAUAAUAUUUAAUGAUGUCGCAAAAUGCCUCUUUGCAAUUAACAAUUCUUACUUUAUAAACUAUUAUUUUAUUGUAGUAAUUGAAUGAACCAUAUUGUGCUUUUAUGUUUAAAUGUUGUAAAUGAAUUGUGAUUUCACUAUGAAUUUAAUUUGUGCUAUAGAUUAGGUAGGUUAUGCAUGUAAUGAAUUAUAAAUAAAUAAAAACUUUAAUUAUUUAUAUUAGUGUGUCAUUAAUAUUUAUAUCAAUACUAACUGAACAUCGAAAUGGUAUGUAAUUGUUUAGAAAUAUUUGAAUAAAUAGUAUUUUUAAAUAUACUGUACUGUGAAGCUGUUUUUGUUAUUAAGAGUAAAACUGUUAUACAUAUUGUUGCAACAUGGCAACUCUAACAUUAGUUGAAUCAGCUGUUUACACUUCAUUGCAAAAUUCCGAGUCACCGCGCUCAUUGUUUUAUUAUUCGAUUGAGUAUUUGUGGAAUUGAAUAUAUAAUUAUAAAACGCGAAUUUAAAUUUAAAGGAACAUUGCUAAGCUUUUUUGAUAAUUUUUACCAAGUUUAUGCUCUCUUAAAAAUUUUCCACAAAUCCCAAUUAGCUAUACAAAAUUUUGUAAAACGCGUACAAAU